UACGAAGGGGGCUAGCGUUGCUCGGAAUCACUGGGCGUAAAGCGCACGUAGGCGGACUCUUAAGUCGGUGGUGAAAUCCUGGAGCUCAACUCCAGAACUGCCUUCGAUACUGAGAGUCUUGAGUCCGGGAGAGGUGAGUGGAACUGCGAGUGUAGAGGUGAAAUUCGUAGAUAUUCGCAAGAACACCAGUGGCGAAGGCGGCUCACUGGCCCGGUACUGACGCUGAGGCGCGAAAGCUAGGGGAGCGAACGGG
rnacentral:rRNA from 1 species